CGAGGGGCCGGAGGACGGAGGUGGGAGCCCGGGCUAGAGGGUGGAGGCUGGGGAGGUUGCCUGGUCACUCUGGCGCUCCGCUGCGGGGGGCAUCCUCCGGCCCAGCAAAGGUGCAGCCUGGGAAGAAGGCGUCAGCACCACCCAGAGAAGAGGAGAGGGGACUUGGCACGCCUCAGGAAGGAAAAAAGGAAGGCUCUCGGGACCACCCAAUAAGCAACCGGGAAACCACAUACCAUGGACAGUGCUCGGGGAAUUUCGGCUCCUCCUCACCCCUGGGGGUUCCAGGGAUCUGGCAGAGAAAGAAGCCCAGUCUCACAGCAAUGACUCCUGAACAUCCUUUGCAAACACUAUUUAGGACAGAUGGACUGAAGUAGGCCCUUGGGAGAGUUGGGGGCAUUUCCGGAGGCCAGAUCAAAGGUGAUCUCCAGGAGAUUUGGAUGUUAGUGCAGGAUAGCUCAGAGCCAAGUGGCAGAUAAGUCUUUGGGAGCCAGAAGGGCUCUUCUCUAAGGAACAAGUGUAGACCUAUAGGGGCAAGAACCUGUG
rnacentral:lncRNA from 1 species